rnacentral:rRNA from 1 species
CCUACGGGAGGCAGCAGUGAGGAAUAUUGGUCAAUGGGCGAGAGCCUGAACCAGCCAAGUCGCGUGAGGGAGUACUGCCCUAUGGGUUGUAAACCUCUUUUGUCGGGGAGCAAAAGCCGGACGUGUCCGGCUGUGAGAGUACCCGAAGAAAAAGCAUCGGCUAACUCCGUGCCAGCAGCCGCGGUAAUACGGAGGAUGCGAGCGUUAUCCGGAUUUAUUGGGUUUAAAGGGUGCGCAGGCGGAUUUUUAAGUCAGCGGUAAAAUCGUGGGGCUCAACCCCAUCCAGCCGUUGAAACUGGGGAUCUAGAGUGUGCGAGAGGUAUGCGGAAUGCGUGGUGUAGCGGUGAAAUGCAUAGAUAUCACGCAGAACCCCGAUUGCGAAGGCAGCAUACCGGUGAACAACUGACGCUCAGGCACGAAAGCGUGGGUAUCGAACAGGAUUAGAUACCCCAGUAGUC